rnacentral:rRNA from 1 species
CCUACGGGGGGCAGCAGUGGGGAAUAUUGCACAAUGGGCGCAAGCCUGAUGCAGCCAUGCCGCGUGUGUGAAGAAGGCCUUCGGGUUGUAAAGCACUUUCAGCGGGGAGGAAGGCGUUAAGGUUAAUAACCUUGGCGAUUGACGUUACCCGCAGAAGAAGCACCGGCUAACUCCGUGCCAGCAGCCGCGGUAAUACGGAGGGUGCAAGCGUUAAUCGGAAUUACUGGGCGUAAAGCGCACGCAGGCGGUCUGUCAAGUCGGAUGUGAAAUCCCCGGGCUCAACCUGGGAACUGCAUUCGAAACUGGGAGGCUAGAGUGUUGUAGAGGGGGGUAGAAUUCCAGGUGUAGCGGUGAAAUGCGUAGAGAUCUGGAGGAAUACCGGUGGCGAAGGCGGCCCCCUGGACAAAGACUGACGCUCAGGUGCGAAAGCGUGGGGAGCAAACAGGAUUAGAUACCCCGGUAGUC